GGACCCGUAGCUCAGCGGAUAGAGCAGGACGUUUCACCACACCUUGUCGUCACGGACAGAUGGAAUGACAUGGCGAAUGCAUGGGGAACUACAUCUGUGUCGCGAGUUCGAUUCUCGCCAGGGCCU
rfam:Rhizobium etli CNPAF512 RHECNPAF_contig96, whole genome shotgun sequence.